rnacentral:lncRNA from 1 species
GGAGAUACGGCAGCAGAAUGAACUGAGCCAUAUAAAGAUAUUUGAACUCCUACUAUUGCUGGACGCAGUAACAAAGUAGGACGCCAAAUUAACUCUACCUACGGAAGAACGUGGAUAGAGAAAGUCUUAAUGGUAACAGAGUCAGAAUGCGUAUCCCAUCUAAGGCGAGAGUAAACCUCACCUACGGAAACGUAGUGUUAGACGAGGGAUAUACUCAAAAGUGAAC